UAAGAAAGGAAUAUUCAUUAAGAUGGCAUCUUCUAUAGUCUCUUCCAUGUUUCUCUUUCUCCUUCUUCUUCUUGUAUUUCCACAUAUAGAUAAUGUCCUUGGCGCACGAAUGGAACUCCGUGAACUUGGUGAGUAUUUUUUAUUUUGUCUCUAAAUAUUCGUAAGUUAUUAAUAUUUUACUUUAUCAGUUAGGUUUAUUAGGGGUGUUGAGUUAUAUAUGUAU
rnacentral:sRNA from 1 species